rnacentral:rRNA from 1 species
GACGGAGGAUGCAAGUGUUAUCCGGAUUUACUGGGCGUAAAGCGCGUUCAGGCGGUUUGGCAAGUCGGGCAUGAAAUCUCUCGGCUCAACCGGGAGAGGUUGUCCGAUACUGCUGGACUUGAGGGCAGUAGAGGGUGGUGGAAUUCCGGGUGUAGCGGUGAAAUGCGUAGAUAUCAGGAGGAACACCGAUGGCGAAGGCAGCUGCCUGGCCUAGAACUGACGCUGAGGUGCGAAAGCGUGGGGAGCGAACAGG